UACGGGGGAGCAAGCGUUGUUCGGAUUUACUGGGCGUAAAGGGCGCGUAGGCGGCCACCGCAAGUCGACUGUGAAAUCUCCGGCUUAACCCGGAAAGGUCAGCCGAUACUGCGGGGCUAGAGUGCAGAAGGGGCAACUGGAAUUCUCGGUGUAGCGGUGAAAUGCGUAGAUAUCGAGAGGAACACCUGCGGCGAAGGCGGGUAGCUGGGCCGACACUGACGCUGAUGCGCGAAAGCCAGGGAGCGAACCGG
rnacentral:rRNA from 1 species